AUUCAGCUGACGAGUUCCAAAUUGGACGAAAGGCGCGCCCUGGAU
rnacentral:hammerhead_ribozyme from 1 species